CACUAAAGAUUUUAGAGAAAUUGGGGCGAAUUUUAGUCCCUACCAGUCUAGCUUCCUAUAUAUAUCAAGUUAUCAACUAAAGAUAUCACCUAAGAUAUGGUGUCAGAACUAAUAUCCACUCUCAUAUCUUCAGCACAUUAUUUAUUUAUUACAAUGUUUUUUUAACCAAAACUAAUACUUCAUGUGGUUUUGUUCUGGCCGUGCAAAAUAGAAAAAGACAUGUAAUUAAUUUUGAUUUUCUUCAUUAUAUUUUUGAAAACAUUAACUUUGACGUUAGCUCCUCCUACCUCCGACGCGCCUCCGCUGCCUUCACCGAACUAAAAAAGCUUCAACCGUGUGAGACUAAAUAAACGAAGCCAAGAUUCAGAGGCAAGGCGUGAGCGGAAGGAGCUGGGUCGAGCUAAAUGGGUGGUUGAUGAUUUGGUGGUAAACGGAGAGAAGAUUCGUUCCCGGGAAAAGUGAAACUCUGGUCGGAAACAGAAUGAGAUAAAUGAUGAAUAAACGAAGAGAAGCAGUAUACCAUUGCAAGAAGAACAAAGAAGAAGAUGUCAUUGGCCAGAAGGUGAAUUCAAGUUGGAACCAGAGCAAAGUAGUGAAGACAAGGAAGAGCGAUGGAGAGAUUGGUUUGAGGAGAGGAAGAUAAAUUAAAAGAGGAAAUCAAACGAGAUUUAAGGUCAAAGUUGGCUACUUUUUAGGAUUUUACCUGACAAUUUUCUAGUGGAGUUUUCAAAGUUUUGGGCAUGUCCCUUAGCGACACUUAACAAUAUGAAAUAUUUUGAUUGUGAGAACUCUCUGUUAUAGUUUUCACUGUCUGUUUUGGUAGUCUGAUACUGCCCUCUUAACCGCUACUCUGUUUGGAUAAUUAUUGAAUGCAAAGUUGCAACCUUCAAGUAGUGUUUAGACUUUGGAUCUUGAAGAUGAGCACUCGAAAAAAGCGUUAGCAUUUACUCUAGUUUAGCGUAUUGAAAUUGUGGAAUAAAGUAGAAAUGUUUUAUGUGAACUCAAUUUUGUUUAGGCAUUUGAGAGUCUGAUGCUUUGUAUCAAGGAAGGACUUCCUGCUUCUGUUUAACUAAACUUGCGCAAAUAUAGAUGAUCCUCAGAUUAUCUGGUAUGUAAGUCUUACAUGCUUUUUGUCUAUUACAAUGGUUCUUUGCUCUAUUUCAUAAACUACCAGAACAAACAUAUAUGUUAGUGCAUGAUUCAUUAGUUGCUUAUGAUUCAGCUUCAUACUUAUUGAUAAGUAGGCUACUAUUGAGCUUACCAUAUAAUGAGCUUACCUCUGAUGCUAGCUGAGGAAGACUAAAGCGCGUACAUAUAGGAAAAUCUCAAAAAUCUGUGGAAAUCGUCCUUCCCAUGAACUUGUGAAAGAGUCAUGUUGUUAACUGCUAUACAAUCUGGCCUUCACAGGUAUUUUUUACUGCAACUCGUGUCCACUUUCUCUUGCAGAAUUUGGUGUUGUAUCAUUGUUUACAUGGACCAUCUGAUUCAAAUGGUUUGUGCGUUAUCUUCAACAGUUAGUUGUUACAGAGAUUGUGAUAAUAACUACAGUAGAAAACAGAGCGUUGCAGCAGUAAAUAAUUGACCUCGUGUCAAAUUAUUGAACAGGAAUUGACCUCAUGUCAAACUGAUAAUUGGCCGGGAGAAAAAAAAUGCGUCAAGCUUGGAAGAAAGAAGAGACAGGAAACAAAAAGAAAAAAGGACAUGAAUCAUGAAGCAUAAAUUAUCAGCAUUUGGGCAAGUCCACAGGAGGAGGAAGAAGUUUCUGAUCAGGCUUAUCUCCAUCAAGAACAAGCCAAGCCAUCCUCAAACCCCAACUGGAUCAGGAAGAAGAAAAAGACAAGAGAGAACAACAGCAAAGAAAAGCCAAACCGCCAUUUCUUUUUUUUUAAGGGAGCUUGGAGACUUGGACCUUGAGGCGUUGAUUAAAGCUGGUGGGAACUUUUUAAGAAGAUUAACCGAUGUUGGAGUUAGUCAAAACAUUAGUACGCUAAAAUUGCUUGGGGAAUAAGCAAAGGGAGGGAGAUUGUAGCUAUCAGAGAAAGGUCACGCUUAGGGUUAGAUGUCAAAAUCCAUGAAGGCUAUUGUCAACAUGUCGUGGUUUACAAAAACAUUGAGAAAAUCUCAAACUAAGGUUCGCAAUUUUAUUUCCCAAGCAAGUGACCUAACUUCUUUCUAAGUUCGUAUCCUCAAAGCCAUGCCACUUAUACAUGCUUCUCUUUAUACAAAUAUUUGUUUUUGCACUAAUAAUAUAUGGGAUUUGUUUGCUUGUUAUCCGUCUUUCAUAUUUAUAAUCUUAAUGAAAUUUAAAGUCAAUCUACAAUCAAAAUAUGAUGUAGACAAGAUUGCUAACAAGUAGGUAUCAGAUUAUCCCUAACUAUCCGAAGUCGGUAAUUAAGAUAUAUGAUUUUUUCUUUAAUAACGUUAGUUCUAGAAAGAAAAGAAAACAAUAAAUAAUUUUAUAAAUUGAUUAAGUGGUUGAAUGACACAACGAUGAAUCAGAAGUUCACAUCAUAGUAUGUAGUUCAAAACCAUUAGUAUGUCUUUAACAAUAUUUUAGUUGGUAACUCACAAUCAGUAGUAGUAAAUAUAGUUAUAGAUAUAUUAACUAGGCAUGUUUAUGUUCCGUGACACGAGAGCUUUAUUAUAAUACAUACAUGAUUAUUCCAAACAUUAUUUGAAAACGAAGUACUAUUAUAUCUUAAAUGUUCCACUGUAGUUCUAAAACAUAUAUGACCUUUUAGGUAUUCAGACAUCAAACCAAUUUCGACGAUCUCUAGUUUAGACACUGAUACAUACUUCAAUCUCACCAUCUAAAUAUCGACAUUAAGUUGAAACCUGAAUUAACUUUUGAUAUAAAGACAUUGUAUAUGAAUUGUGUGAAAUACAUGUAGUCUAGUGGCGAGCUUGAUAAGCAAUCUGAGUUUGAAAAUACUCCACUACAUUUUUCGUGUGGCCACAUGGAUAUAGAGACCUAUUGUUUAUGCAUCAUUUGAAUAUUCGGAGAGAUAGUCCAUCUCUAAACUGUUACAUCUCUUAAAUUAUUAGUUUGAGAAAUUUCAUAGGCAUGAAAUAUCUUCGUAUUAAUAGAAAAAAUGAAUUGUCUAAAUAACAAAUGAAUACAUACUAAAUCAGUUGGUGAUCUCUACUAACAAGAUGAAAUUAUUGGACUUGAACUCAGACUUAGAUAUGAUAAAAAAAA